rnacentral:rRNA from 1 species
AUUGAACGCUGGCGGCAGGCCUAACACAUGCAAGUCGAGCGAGCGGCGGACGGGUGAGUAAUGUAUGGGAAACUGCCUGAUGGAGGGGGAUAACUACUGGAAACGGUGGCUAAUACCGCAUACUAUCGGAUGAACCCAUAUGGGAUUAGCUAGUUGGUGGGGUAAAGGCUCACCUAGGCGACGAUCCCUAGCUGGUCUGAGAGGAUGAUCAGCCACACUGGGACUGAGACACGGUCCAGACUCCUACGUGAGGCAGCAGUGGGGAAUAUUGCACAAUGGGCGCAAGCCUGAUGCAGCCAUGCCGCGUGUAUGAAGAAGGCCUUCGGGUUGUAAAGUACUUUCAGCGGGGAGGCGUUACCCGCAGAAGAAGCACCGGCUAACUCCGUGCCAGCAGCCGCGGUAAUUC